rnacentral:tRNA from 1 species
GUCUCUGGUGCACUCGGUUAGCGCGUUCGGCUGUUAACCGAAAGGUUGGUGGUUCAAGCCCACCCAGGGACG